UGCAAUAGGAACAGGUAUAUGUUCUAUAACAUCUAUACUUUAGUUGGAAAUGGCAGCUUCACUGAACUGCAUCAGUUGUAAGCUUCCCUAAAUUCAUACAUAUCUAUAACGUAGGGCACUUCUACCUCCCUGUAGUAAUAAAGAAGUAUACUGUAAAUUCAUAGAUGAUUAAUACUAUUUCGUUUGCAGGUUCGGCCAAUUCCUUUGAGGUAUUAACAAGUAGCCGAGCUUUUGGUGUCAUCUCUACUCAGGGAAAAACAUGGCAAAUCCUCAUACAAAAUGUUGAUCUAUUGUUCUUCUAUAAUUAUAGAUUUCCGAAUAAUUAGAUGGCCAGUUAUGCAACACAAUAUUCCCACAGUAUUGAAAUCUUCAGAUCUGCAAAGUGUCCUUUAGCAAAUGGCGUUUGAACUUAAUAUGGGAUACUCCAAAUCCAUAAGAGCAGGCUAUAUCUGAUAUUUUCUGAAUACAGAGUCGGUAGACUUGAUUUAUGUUUUCCCCUACUUGUCAAUAUGAUGGCCCGUUGUAAAUAAAUAAGCCUUGGCCAUCACUUAUACUUGGCCAUCACUUAUACUUGGGAACUACUUUUCAGUGACAACUGUAUUGACGAAGAUACUUUUUUUCUUAAAUAUUUAUUUCCUCAGUGGUGUGUGUUUUAGUUUACAGUUUUGAUAAGAUUCCAUGGCCAAUACACUUUUUUUCUUGACAGGGAACUACGACGGGCUUACGCCUACCUGAACUAUAUUCGAAACUAUCAGAGUUCACAGCAGAUUACAGCAGCCUUAAAGAUCGUUGGCCAUUAAUGGUUAUCUAUGGCACUAAAACUUGUUGAUCUCAACACAUUCACCUCACAAAACUUGUUGGCAGAAACAUGUGCAUUAGCACCAAAGAAGUGAGGUCAAAUUAAUGAGGAGUUGUGUGAUCUGAGGAGAAACUAUUCUCUUGCAAAUCAGAUAGUUGUCGUAGGAAUUACAAGGCACAUGAUUGUAACUGAUAAUUCGUUUCUACACAUUCCUCGACCCUAAUGUCUACAUGAGGUGUGAGUUCAACGCAACGAGGAAAUCACAUUACUAUAAGAAUGGUAGGUAGAAUCACGGUGAUUCAUGCAAAAGCUCACUAAAUUUAUCAUAUAAUGAAGCAUAUAAUUUAUCAGAUGC